AGUAUUUGAUUAAAUUUCAUUGAAUGUGGUCACUGAAAUGUAUAAAAAAGGUAUAUGGUUGUGAUUUUUAGAAUAUUUUUUAUUGACUUAGAAGUGGUUUUACGGAAACUUCAACUGGACUUCUAAAAAAGAAAAUUCCUAAUGGAUAAAACCGAUAAGACGGAGAAGCAGAUUUGCUGGUGUACUCAUGAAGAUGAUCCCCACUUCGUGAAAUAUGCUGAUGAUGCCCAUGGCAAGUAGCAAUCCGACUGGAUCUCUGAGCGUAUCUCUCCCGACGUGCCUCGUCGAUAUCUCUCUUUGAUGACACAUUGCUAGUAAGAGACACUGUGGAAGUGGACAAAUUCUUCCUGACAUUCUCAUCACCAUUCACAUGGCCAUUGGUGGCGGAGUCUUUGACGAUGGUUGUCUUCGUGACGUGAGUGGCUUUGGACAACUGAGCCACAGACGGUGGACUUUUGGUGGGUUUCCCAUCAACGAUUGUCGUAAUGAAGUUGCCACGCUGGAAGAUCUCAGGCUUGUCCGGUACUUUGGGAUUAGGUGAUGAGAUACUAAUACUCGUAACAUGAGCAUUGUUCGUUGGUGAUGAGCGAGACUCUUUAUUCUCCUGCAAUUCCUUAACCUGGUCCUCCAAAUAAGAGAUGCGAUGCUGCAGCCGCAUGUUGUCCUCCUGACUCUGAAGCAACUGCUGCUGAGCAAAAGGCAUGGCUCUCUGACGGAUAACUACCAGCUGACAUCGACUGGUAUUUCCAAUCAAUCUCUGGAGUUCCUCACGGGUUCUUCCACUGAGAAUCUUUCCAUUCACUUCAAUGAUUCUAUCUCCGCGAUAGAGACCCUCACCUUCAAGUGCCCAUUCAAUCCACAUGCCCGGACAGUCGUUCCUGGACGUCGCUGCCCAGCGACCAACAGUCACGUGGACUGCAUGGAGACUUAAGUUAGUGCCAUUCUGGAGGAUGCUGUAAAUGGAAUUGGCUUCAGGUUUUGAUUUCUCCAGCCGUGACUGAAGAGCCUGGAUUUCUUCCACGAGAGACAGCAGUUGAAGCUCUUCCCGUCCAAGAGCAUAUUCCAACUCUGCCUGGCGUAUCCUUACAUCGAUAUUGCUGGAAAAUUUUAAAAAAUCUGAAUCAGUUGAGGAAUUAUAAUUCAGUUGCGGCACUAAAAACAAUGGCGAUAAAAAAACGUUCAGUAAAAAUAAUCAAUUUUGGCGCUCAUUAGUUGAUUAAUUUCCGGUUUGGUCUUUUUAAUUUUUUUUUUUUUGGAAUUUCAAGCCAUGUCAAAUCAGCCUAGUCUUGGAUCAGAAGUACCUACGCAUAGACGGAUUUAACCUUCGGCCUUUAAAAAUAAUUAGCAGAAAAAUAAUUUUGGAUCAUUAUUAGCAUAUAUCGAAAUAUCUAUGGAACGUAUGUAUAUAAUUUGGAAAAGAUUGUAUUGCUCAUUAGCAAUUACCAAAGAAAAUAUUAUUUUUUUUUAGCGAUUUUGAGAAUCUAAUGUACUCAGAAGAAUGAAAUAAAAAAUCAAGCAAUACGUAAGCAAGUAAAUUAUUAACUGGUUAGGAUUGAGUCAUGACUUAUGAACUAUAUUACGCAUACUGUAUUAAAAUUUCGAAAUUCUGAAAUUUUUAUGGUCAAUUUUUAAAGACAAAAUACGCAAAAAUUAGCACUUAAAAAUUAAAUUUGGUUAGUAAUGGUUUUGAUCAAGAAAACUUCAAGAAAUCAAAAUUCAUGACCUUUUCUUCCUCAAUCCUUUUGCAUAUAUCUAUUCUACUCUAUCGUACUCUUCUUCUUCUUUUAAAUAUCACACCAUAUUGAAUUUAGUUCAAUCUAAUUUGAGGUGCGAGAGACAGGAAUAGAUAUGUAUAUUCAAAGUGUUUAAGAAAGAAAGAAAUGUGAAUUUUGAUUUCAUGAAACUUUCCUAUUCUGAUAGGUGUGCUGGAGGCAUAAAAUAUAAUAUUUAAUUAUAGUCAAUAAAAACACCUAAAUCUAAUUUUAUCUAAUCUAAUUUUAUACAAUUAGUAUCCAAAAUGGUUACAGAUGAAAUAAAAACCUCUUUAUUUUCCCUUUUCCAAAAACUUUUACAAUGGUUUUACUCCUUUUAGAAUUCUAAAGCAUCGAUCAAAUUUAGGUUUUUUUAAGAAACAUUUUUUAAUAGCUCAUUUUUUAAUAGUGUUAUUUUUAAGUUUUUUUUUCAAAAUUUCCUUUAAAAGUCACUUAUUCUGAUUAUGUUGAAUUUUUCACCCCUUGUGACCAAUCAAAAACUCACAGUAAUUUAUUUUAUUAGUUAAUUUUUAAAUCUUCCUGGGCACCAUGAUUUUAAUACUAAACCUACCAAGACCCGGUCAGAUUGACCGGUUUAAAAUUAACAGAAAUUUAAACGGUACAAUGUCACUAUCAAACUUUAUGAAUUUCUUAAAAUAUGCAUGUAAUAUAUUUUUCAGUGCUUAAAUUUUAAUUUUUUGCUCCUUUCCAAGACUAAUUUGUUGAGUAUCUUACCCUACCGCGGUUUGACAUUUGACAGAAAAACGACCAAAAACGGUAGGUAGGUUUAGUGGUUAAAACUUUUAAAAUAGGAAUAAGAAAAAACUAUGUUACUCUUUGGAAGACACAUUUGUUUAAGAUUUUUAUGAAUUAUUUUGUCAAAUUAUACACAAAAAUUUCAAAUUAAACUUUUAAAAUACCUAA